CCGAGUUUACAACUCCCAAACCCAAUGUGAACGUUACCAAACUGUUGCCUCGGCGGGGUCACGCCCCGGGUGCGUAAAAGCCCCGGAACCAGGCGCCCGCCGGAUGGAACCAACCAAACUCUUUCUGUAGUCCCCUCGCGGACGUAUUUCUUACAGCUCUGAGCAAAAAUUCAAAAUGAAUCA
rnacentral:misc_RNA from 1 species